CCUACGGGUGGCAGCAGUGAGGAAUAUUGGUCAAUGGACGGAAGUCUGAACCAGCCAUGCAGCGUGCAGGAAGACGGCCCUAUGAGUUGUAAACUGCUUUUGUACAAGGGUAAACUUCAAUACGUGUAUUCAGCUGAAAGUACUGCACGAAUAAGGAUCGGCUAAUUCCGUGCCAGCAGCCGCGGUAAUACGGAGGAUCCAAGCGUUAUCCGGAUUUAUUGGGUUUAAAGGGUGCGUAGGCGGAAUGUUAAGUGAGAGGUGAAAUGCCCGGGCUUAACUCGGGCACUGCCUCGAAUACUGUUGAUCUAGAGAGUGGAUACGGUAUGCGGAAUGUAUGGUGUAGCGGUGAAAUGCUUAGAGAUCAUACAGAACACCGAUUGCGAAGGCAGCAUACGGA
rnacentral:rRNA from 1 species